rnacentral:tRNA from 1 species
GGGCCUGUAGUUCAGUGGUAGAACGCCUCAUUUGCAAUGAGGAAAUCGCGGGUUCGACUCCCGCCGGGUCCA